UAUUAUUAAAGAAAUUAAAUUUAAUCCAUAUUUUUCAAAUCUUCCUGCAAAUCAAUUUUAUGUUGUAUCAUGAUCCCAGAUAUAGAAAUGGCUUCAUUGGAAAAUGAGCAAAACAUUUUAAUCGUAAAUAUUGCCAAUGCAUAGUUUUAUUUGAAAUAAAAUUUAGUUUUAUAUGCAGGGAAAAAAGUGUACUGUUGCCAGACUAACUACAGAAAUGGGUUCGAAUUGCAGUGUUUGCUACACGAUCGAUAUAAUUUGUAGUGUUUAUCUGCAGAAUACUGAAAAAAGCAAUGAUAUUUGAAUUUACAAGUUUGUAGAGAGAGCCAAAAUGAUUUUAAUAACUAAUUAUGAGGAAGUUCCCAUCUGUUUUUGUUUUAUUUGUAGAAACUGCGGGAACAAUUUAUCCACCAUUAAGCGCUAAAUGCAUUUUAAAGUGUGUUCCCGUCAUUUUCUAAGUUGGAGCUUUCCAAAUGAGGCUUCGUACACGACUUAAUCGAUGCUUUGCCUCUUUUUCUCCCUCCUUAUAAAUAAAUGGUUGGAUGAAUAAAUGUUAUUUCCUGUGAUUUUCAAAGUACCUCGGAUAGCACAUUUCCUUAUGUCAAUACUGCGUUUCCUCCGACCCAACCAUGCUUGAAACAUUUUUCAAUCUUGUCAUAUUUCAUCAGCCACGGAUGACGUUGAAGAAGGUACAUCACCACUUUACGAACAUGAAGUUGUACCUUGAGUGCCAACUAUAUACUCCUAUCACGAAUAUUCAGUUCUCGAACUCGAGAACCAAUGCCAACCCAGUAGCUAAAAGAAUGAUUUUGAAUUCUUGCCAAAUUGAGACCGAAUGCCAUUCAGUCAAGUGAACCCUGUUAGGAAUUGAGGUCAUGUGACGCUGUUUUUGACACUGUUGUUAAAGCAAGUUUUGACCCUAUGGGUCAUUUUUUUGUCUCGAUUGAAGAUUAUCGUUUUUUAAAAGUUUUAUUUUUCAGAUGAGUCAAAUCGAAGUUUGAAAAGUUACAUUGGAUUUUAAAAUGAGUUUUGAACUUUAAAUACGAUAAUCAAACUGAAUUUUAAGCUUGAUUCUGUCCGUUCUCGACAAACUUACUGAUGAUUUAUACAAUGAUGGGAACCAAAACUAUUUCAAUGAUAAGUAUUUUCUUAUUUUACAUUAAAUAUGGAUUAAAAAGAAUCUUGUUUGCCAACUCGAAAAUUUGCUAUUAU
rnacentral:lncRNA from 1 species